rnacentral:rRNA from 1 species
UACGAAGGGGGCUAGCGUUGCUCGGAAUCACUGGGCGUAAAGCGCACGUAGGCGGAUUUUUAAGUCAGGGGUGAAAUCCUGGAGCUCAACUCCAGAACUGCCUUUGAUACUGGGAAUCUCGAGUCCGGAAGAGGUGAGUGGAACUGCGAGUGUAGAGGUGAAAUUCGUAGAUAUUCGCAAGAACACCAGUGGCGAAGGCGGCUCACUGGCCCGUAACUGACGCUGAGGCACGAAAGCUAGGGGAGCAAACAGG